AUUGAACGCUGGCGGCAGGCCUAACACAUGCAAGUCGAACGGUAACAGGAAGCAGCUUGCUGCUUCGCUGACGAGUGGCGGACGGGUGAGUAAUGUCUGGGAAACUGCCCGAUGGAGGGGGAUAACUACUGGAAACGGUAGCUAAUACCGCAUAACGUCGCAAGACCAAAGAGGGGGACCUUCGGGCCUCUUGCCAUCGGAUGUGCCCAGAUGGGAUUAGCUUGUUGGUGAGGUAACGGCUCACCAAGGCGACGAUCCCUAGCUGGUCUGAGAGGAUGACCAGCCACACUGGAACUGAGACACAGUCCAGACUCCUACGGGAGGCAGCAGUGGGGAAUAUUGCACAAUGGGCGCAAGCCUGAUGCAGCCAUGCCGCGUGUAUGAAGAAGGCCUUCGGGUUGUAAAGUACUUUCAGCGGGGAGGAAGGGGUUAAGGUUAAUAACCUUAGCCAUUGACGUUACCCGCAGAAGAAGCACCGGCUAACUCCGUGCCAGCCGCCGCCGUAAUAC
rnacentral:rRNA from 1 species